GUAUGGAUAUAUGGAUGGAAUGGAUUUGCACGGCUAAGAGAUGAAAGUGUAUGGAUUGGUGAGAUGUAGUAUGGCUAGAUGAAUGGAUGGAGGUCACGACAAGGAAAAUGUGUUUGUGAAUGAAGUUGUGAGAUGUGAAAUGUAGUGUCUUUGGAUGAUGGCCCCCAAAUUAUGGUGAAGGGUGGAUGUAUUUAUAGGCUAGGGAGAGGAGUGUAUGGAGUUGUAAUGAGUGGAUGUAAUGGGUGUAGUGGGU
rnacentral:lncRNA from 1 species